ensembl:snRNA Rnu6-959 RNA, U6 small nuclear 959
UGCUUGCCUAAUCAGCAAUAUAAUAAAAUCGGAACGAUACAGAGGAAAUUAGCAUGGCUCCUGUGUAAGACAACACACAAAUUUGUGAAGAAUUUCAUACUUUU